rfam:Schistosoma curassoni strain Dakar, Senegal genome assembly, scaffold: SCTD_scaffold0002537
GCACUACUGAGGAGUUCCGCACUAGGACGAAACGGCCGUCCAGUGC